AGCCUGUCCCAGUUCGGACUGGAGUCUGCAACCCGACUCCNCGAUGUUGGAUUCGCUAGUAAUCGCGCAUCAGCCAUGGCGCGGUGAAUACGUUCCCGGGCCUUGUACACACCGCCCGUCAAGCCAUGGGAGCCGGGGGCGCCUGAAGUCCGGGACCGCGAGGACCGGCCUAGGGCGAAACUGGUAACUGGGGCUAAGUCGUAACAAGGUAUC
rnacentral:rRNA from 1 species